rnacentral:ncRNA from 1 species
UUAAGGGGUGCUGAUUUUUUCAGACAUGAGAAUCGGCUGAGAUGAUACCCUCUGACCUGAACAGGGUAAUGCCUGCGUAGGAAACUGGACUUCU